rnacentral:lncRNA from 1 species
ACAACGAGAACAAAAAUGACUUUACAAGCUUCCACGGGGCAUGCCUGUGGUCCCAGCUAUGGAGAGGCUGAGGUGGGAGGAUCAUUUUAGCCCAGGAGGUCGAGGCUGCAGUGAGGCAUGAUUGUGCCACUACACUCCAGCCUGGGUGCCAAAGCAAAAUCUUGUCUCAAAAAAAAAAAAAAAAAAAGAAGAAAGAAAAGAAGAGAAAAAGAAAAGAUGCACAAUGUCACCCAUCACCAGGGAAAUACAAAUCAAAACCACAGUGAAAUACCACCCUAUUAGAGAUUUUAUUUUAAAAAUAAUAGAUUUUUUUGUGUUAGAAAACAGGGCCAGGCACAAGCAGGCCGGGCGCAGUGGCUCACGCCUGUAAUCCCAGCACUUUGGGAG